GGGCGUAUAGCUCAGUUGGUUAGAGCGCACGACUGAUAAUCGUGAGGUCGGAAGUUCAAAUCUUCCUAUGCCCACCA
rnacentral:tRNA from 2 species